ACUGGGGCUUCUUUUAUUUUUUUUUUUUUUUUGGGGGGGGGGCUUCUUUUAACUGAUAAUUCUACAAGCUCUUAAAGCUACUUGCCAUGCACUGUGACUUGGUGGAGUUAAUGGAAACUCAAACCUCCUUGUUUAAAAUAAAACCACUUGGGAAUGUUUGAGGAUUUCAUUACUCAAAAUUAUGUACGUGAAAAGCACUUUGUAAAUUGCAAAAUGCUACACAAAGAUUAAUUUAUUAAACUCAAAAUUUUGAAGAAAAACAGUCAUUUGGGAACCUAGAAUUUCUGAGAUUUCAAGCUCUGAGGGAUGUUUAGUUAAGUUUCCCAGAAAACCCUAAGGAAGGGGACACAGGGACCAGUAGGCACCACCUGUAUGAGACCAACUCCAGCCACAUCCAGCUUCAGGGGUUUCCGGUGUCUUCCCUGGGACCUGUGCCCUGCCUGUUUCUAGCCCUUCUCUCACCCAGACACCGAUUUUCUUUGCGAUGGAGGCCAAAGAACUUGCUGCUGAUGGCAUAACCCAGUCGUCCCACUCUGGUCCUGCUCCCUAUUUGCUUGGUGGGGAAGCAGUUGGUGUCUCAGAGGGAAAGCAAGUUGUGUUUACUAGAAGAACUUCCCUUGUGAUGUCCAGAUAUGAACUCAGUAUCCUG
ensembl:lncRNA